rnacentral:rRNA from 1 species
AGGGGCAGCAUGAACUUAGCUUGCUAAGUUUGAUGGCGACCGGCGCACGGGUGAGUAACACGUAUCCAACCUGCCGAUGACUCGGGGAUAGCCUUUCGAAAGAAAGAUUAAUACCCGAUGGCAUAAUUCUUCCGCAUGGUUUGAUUAUUAAAGAAUUUCGGUUAUCGAUGGGGAUGCGUUCCAUUAGGCAGUUGGUGAGGUAACGGCUCACCAAGGCUACGAUCAGUAGGGGUUCUGAGAGGAAGGUCCCCACAUUGGAACUGAGACACGGUCCAAACUCC